CUCGACCAAGUGAUCGGAAUCUGACGGAGGAGACCAAUCAGAAGAGCAAUGACGAGAGCUGUCCUACUCAGUGAGUACAGUAGUUGCAGUUGAGUGAGAGCUCUUCAGUUUCUUUCUUAUUGGCUGGUUCUGGCUCUUCUCUUCAAGGAGCUGCUGCUUCUUGUCAUACUUCUGUUUCGGAGGUACUUGUUGCUGAUUCAGAUACAUCUGAGUACUCUCUCGCUGAACCUUGGGCUAAAUUGGUUGUUUUUGUUCGGAUACAUCCUUGUGUGUUGACUAUUAGAACUACAUCCUUUCCUGUUACCACCAAUAACUGCAGACUCCGAGUCAAAGAAGGCUAUUAUCUCUCAAUUUCAAAGAAGAUCUAGAUACGUGGGACAAUCAAAUCAGGAUACAGAACGACCUGAAAAGUGUAGUUGCAUAAAUGUUUAUGUGCACAGUUGGUGCUACUCGUGCUGCUGUUGAUGCUAGAUAGGUUCCUAAUGACCUUCAUGUAAUAUUUUUUGGAUCUUCUCUUGACUACACUCCAUCCACUGUAACGGCUUUUGAACUCCAGGAAGAGUUUGUGUGUGUGUUAGGUGGGACAAGAGCUAUACAUGGCGUUUGGUGUUUCAGUAGCCAUUCAAUACUUAGAUAAUAACAAAGACGCAGAUGCACCUAUUUUCUAGGUAGAAUGCUGAUUAUGGACUUGUUGGAGAUCUUUUUGAGGUGAUACCCGACUUGCUGGAGAAGCCUCCUGAAAAAAAAUGAGAAAUUCUUAAGCUCUCAGGUGCAGACCACAGUAUAGUAGUAGUGUAUAUAUUGCAAAACUGUAAUAAAAGUGGUCUGAAGAAUCAUUUGUCAUAAGCUCUCUCUCUCUCACUUCUGAUUCUCUGCUACGAAUAUGAUACACAUUUAUUUGCAAAGUGUUC